GUAAGUUAGUAUUUUUAUCAUUAAAAAACGUAUUGCUCGUGUGCCUAAUAGAUAGGUAGGUACCAUUAACUCGUCAGUUUCUGAACCCAUAGUAUCAUUUUGUGCCGAUCAUAAAAAAAAUGUCCGCGAAAAUCACACUUUUAUGUUCGUACAUUUUUCUAUUCGAAUUAAUAAUGUGCCCGGUUCUCCACGCCUGGACAAUGCAAGAUUACCCAGCAUUUAAAGGAGCACCUCUUUUCAAUCGGAAAAUUGAAGAUCUUAACAGAAUAUGCACUAACGUGGCUAAGAAAAUAAGUUAUCCAGCAGCAAAUUAUGUAGCAAAGAUUUCGUCAGUAGAGAAGAUACUUUUGUAUGGAACUGGAGCAAACGAUUUCUACAAAGAAAGACUCGUCUAUUGUUAUGGCCAGAAUGGCCAGAGUGGUGGAGAAUUUCAUAUUGGCAAAGGGCAAACCUUGGAUGGAGUUGUUAAAUAUAAUUGUAACUUCGUCGACAGUACAUAUUGCACCCCUGAUAAGAAUAUACCAGGUCCUUUAUAAACGAUUUCUGAUCACCUGUUCAGAUCCACAUUCAUUUGUAAAAUAAUCAUAGCUCGACGAUUUGAUUUAAUUUGAAUAAAUUCUUGUUUAGUUGCAGUA